GCUGGAAUCGCUAGUAAUCGCAGAUCAGAAUGCUGCGGUGAAUACGUUCCCGGGUCUUGUACACACCGCCCGUCACACCAUGGGAGUCGGAAAUGCCCGAAGUCUGUGACCUAACCGUAAGGGAGGAGCAGCCGAAGGCAGGUCGGAUGACUGGGGUGAAGUCGUAACAAGGUACC
rnacentral:rRNA from 1 species